CUCCUUCGUUAGCCUUCCCCUUUUCAUUUCCAUUUGAAAGUUUUCCCCCAUCUUCUUCAUCUUCCCUUCGUCUUCCCCUUUCCCCCAUUUCUAGACCUCCCUUUCAUCUUCAAGCAUUCGUCUUCCACCAUCCCCACACGAAAACCGACGAUGAAGGACCUUCUUUAGCCGAUUUUUCUCUUCCCACGAAACCGAGAUACUCCGAACUUCCCUUCGAUCCUCUGCCUCCCCCUUCGAAGCCAAAGUCACCGAAGCUCUCGCUCCCCCUUUGAAGCUGAAAGACACUGAAGCUCUGCCUCCCCCUUUGACACCGAAAGAAACCCUAACCAAGCUCUGUGUUUCUCCCUCCCCCUUCCUUAUUUUUCAUAGAAAUUUUCCUUGGUGCAGGAUAUCUCAGAUGCUCAAUGGAGGAACUUUGGUGUUCAAUAAGUCGAAAGCUUAUUUUGGUUUAAGAGAGAGGGGGAUUUCAAUUGUUUGGCUUGACCCAAGUCAUUAUCUUCUAGUAAAGAUAUUUGAGAGGUAAGACUAGCGUAUCACAUUCCUAUAGUGACUGAUGUCCACGACGCUCUUCAGGCAAGCUUUUGUUUUCUAGUGGUAGCCUUGUUCCUUCUGUUUUAUUUUUAUCUAGAUAUGUCUUUACAUAUGGCGGCAGCCAUAUUUGUUGACUGGGUGUAUACUCUUAUUCAAUCAAUAUUGGAUAAUAAUUUGGCAUAAUAUCUAAAUUCAUCUCACCCUAUUUGCUCCUUUCACGAUGAGGUGUUUAUAUGUAUUUCAUGAUCUUUCCUAAGCAAAUGAUAAUAGCCAUAUUAUGACUUUUUGGGGAUGGUAAGAGUGAAUUGCAUGUUUCUUUACUGGAUUAGUUGUGUACCUCAGGAGCAUUUGUGCUUGUAUACCUGUAUGACUAAGUCUAUGCAUCUAUUUGUGUAAAAUGAGGAAAAAAAGAGCUGUGACCAAUUUUGUAUUGUACUUCAAUAGUAGGAAAUCUUGAUUUUGGACUUGUGCAAUAUCCACCAUUAGAAAUUCUAAUAAAAACAUCAAAAUUAGAUCAGAUGUGGUACUAAUAGUACUACUGUUAUAGUGUCUGAUUCUGACUCAUGAUGUACUUCAAAUUGUCCCUAAAUCUGCAUGCAGUACUGUGAAUGUUCCAAUGAAAUUAUAAUAAAGAUUGAACAAUUCCAAAAGAGAAAAGACAUGAUAUUAUAAUAAAGAUCAUAAUUUAUCUUGCUUACAACAAUGAAAUUUCAAUGAAAUGUGAGAUGUGCUCUAUAAAUUCUGGUUGAAAAUGUGAGAAUUGUCAUUUUAUAAUUCUGGUUGGAAAUGUGAGAAUCAUUGAGAAGCAGUUUGCAGUUUGUUGUUGAGAAGCAGUUUGCAGUUUGCUGUUGAGAAGCAGUUUGUUGUUGAGAAGCAGUUUGUAAUGUAUUGAGCAGCAGUUUGUUGUUGAGAAGCAGUUUGCAGUUUGUUGUUGAGAAGCAGUUUGCAGUUUGCUGUUGAGAAGCAGUUUGUUGUUGAGAAACAGUUUGUAAUGUAUUGAGCAGUUUGUAAUUACAUUGAAACAGUUUUAAUGUAUUGAACAAUUUGCAAUUUGAGAAGCAGUUUUAAUGUAUUGAGCAGUUUGUAAUUUGAGAACCAGUUUGUAAUUUAAUGUAUUAAGCAGUUUGUAAUUUGAGAGGCAGUUUGUAAUUUAAUGUAUUGAGCAGUUUGUAAUUACAUUGAAGCAGUUUUAAUGUAUUAAACAGUUUGUAAUUUGAGAAGCUGUUUUAAUGUAUUGAGCAAUUUGUAA